AGAACACGUACGAGAGUAACUGCUCGUACCUUGACGGUACCUUAUUAGAAAGCCACGGCUAACUACGUGCCAGCAGCCGCGGUAAUACGUAGGUGGCAAGCGUUGUCCGGAAUUAUUGGGCGUAAAGCGCGCGCAGGCGGUUCUUUAAGUCUGAUGUGAAAGCCCACGGCUCAACCGUGGAGGGUCAUUGGAAACUGGAGAACUUGAGUACAGAAGAGGAAAGCGGAAUUCCACGUGUAGCGGUGAAAUGCGUAGAGAUGUGCAGGAACACCAGUGGCGAAGGCGGCUUUCUGGUCUGUAACUGACGCUGAGGCGCGAAAG
rnacentral:rRNA from 2 species